CCCCGGAGCAGAGCCUGGGCCCUGCUCGGAGCCCUCCCUGCACACAGGGACACCCAGGCCUGAGGGCCCCUCUCAGCUGGGGCUCCUCUCGAGGCUGGACAGCCCCAGCUCCCUCAGCCUUUCCCUGCCAGAGAUGCUCCAGCCCCUAAAUCAUCUCCACAGCCUCCGCUGGCCCCGCUCCAGGAGCUCCAUGGCCCUGCUGUGCUGAGGAGCCCAGAGCUGGACACAGCUCUGCAGGGGAGGCCUUACGAGGGCUGAUUGUUAAUAGUGUUAAACCCUGGCCAGGAGUUCGACAGGCAGGAGCUGAUCCUGAUGAUCCACAGCAAGUCUCAGAGCCCGUGACUUCAAGACUUGUUCUACCAGCUGAAGAGGGUUUAAUCUGCUUCCUCUUCCCAAGCAGGAAAAGUUCAUCUUCUGUGACCACAAGUCUUCUGUUUACUCAAAUUAGUGUCACAGCUGUGUGAGAUAUUUUCACUGUUGAAGAAAUGAAGCUGGCAGUUGGCAACAGGAACCAGGCACAUCCCUGAGAGCUGGACAAGGCACUUUGAACUGGACUUGAUGCCUGGGACGUUGGUGGAAGGAGCAGUAAAUGAGGAUAAUGAAUGUGUUUGGGAGACGGAAGGAGAACAGGCAGAAAACUCCUCAGAGAUCUGGCAGGCUCCAAGCAGCCUGAGGGAAAUGGAUUAGUGAGCACAGGACAGUACUGUGUGACUACUUCUCAGCACUGUUAAAAUGUGGAAAAAUGCAGCAGGGAAGAAGCAGCUCUGGAAAUGAGAAAGGAGGAGAAGAAUGCAGGACACAAGGGAUGGAACAAGAAGAACUAGGGGAAAAAAAAUUCCAAAUGGAAAAAGUUGUCUAAGUUAAUGAAAGAUAGAUGGAUUCCCAUGUUGCAAACAAAUGUUGAGGGAAACUAUUUUCUCUUU